ACGCUGGCGGCGUGCCUAAUACAUGCAAGUAGAACGCUGAAGAGAGGAGCUUGCUCUUCUUGAAUGAGUUGCGAACGGGUGAGUAACGCGUAGGUAACCUGCCUUGUAGCGGGGGAUAACUAUUGGAAACGAUAGCUAAUACCGCAUAACAAUGGGUGACACAUGUCAUUUAUUUGAAAGGGGCAAUUGCUCCACUACAAGAUGGACCUGCGUUGUAUUAGCUAGUAGGUGAGGUAACGGCUCACCUAGGCGACGAUACAUAGCCGACCUGAGAGGGUGAUCGGCCACACUGGGACUGAGACACGGCCCAGACUCCUACGGGAGGCAGCAGUAGGGAAUCUUCGGCAAUGGGGGCAACCCUGACCGAGCAACGCCGCGUGAGUGAAGAAGGUUUUCGGAUCGUAAAGCUCUGUUGUAAGUCAAGAACGAGUGUGAGAGUGGAAAGUUCACACUGUGACGGUAGCUUACCAGAAAGGGACGGCUAACUACGUGCCAGCAGCCGCGGUAAUACGUAGGUCCCGAGCGUUGUCCGGAUUUAUUGUGCGUAAAGCGAGCGCAGGCGGUUUGAUAAGUCUGAAGUUAAAGGCUGUGGCUCAACCAUAGUUCGCUUUGGAAACUGUCAAACUUGAGUGCAGAAGGGGAGAGUGGAAUUCCAUGUGUAGCGGUGAAAUGCGUAGAUAUAUGGAGGAACACCGGUGGCGAAAGCGGCUCUCUGGUCUGUAACUGACGCUGAGGCUCGAAAGCGUGGGGAGCGAACAGGAUUAGAUACCCUGGUAGUCCACGCCGUAAACGAUGAGUGCUAGGUGUUGGAUCCUUUCCGGGAUUCAGUGCCGCAGCUAACGCAUUAAGCACUCCGCCUGGGGAGUACGACCGCAAGGUUGAAACUCAAAGGAAUUGACGGGGGCCCGCA
rnacentral:rRNA from 1 species